rnacentral:rRNA from 1 species
UAGGUAACUUUGUGUUUGAGUGGGAAAGGAAGUGGAAAUGCUCAGACAGCCAGGAGGUUGGCUUAGAAGCAGUCAUCCUUUAAAGAAAGCGUAACAGCUCACUGGUCGAGUGGGUUUGCACCGAAAAUGUAACGGGGCUAAAGCACAUUACCGAAGCUGCGGGUAUCAAAAAAUAUUUAUUUUUUGGUACGGUAGAGGAGCAUUCUGUUAAGGCUGAAGGUUAUUCGUAAGGAUAGCUGGACAUAACAGAAGAGACCAUGCUGACAUGAGUAACGAUAAAGCGGGUAAGAAACCCGCUCGCCGUAAACCUAAGGUUUCCUUGAGUAAAGCUAAUCUGCUCAGGGUUAGUCGAUCCCUAAGCCGAGGCCGAAAGGCGUAGGCGAUGGAAAACAGGUUAAUAUUCCUGUACCACCAUCUUAUCAUUAUAAAGCGAUGGGGUGACACAGGAGGGUAGGUCAUCCGUCUGUUGGAAUAGACGGUUUAAGCCCGUAGGCGGAAAGAACAGGUAAAACUGUUCUUUUUUUAACGCUGAGAGGUGAUGAGGAGUCUUUUUUAAUAAAAGACAUAACUGACUAAUCCCAUGCUGUCGAGAAAAGCCUCUAGUGAGAUAAGAAGGUGAUCGUACCGCAAACCAACACAGGUAGGUAAGGAGAGAAUCCUAAGGCGCUUGAGAGAACCCUGGUUAAGGAACUCGGCAAAAUGAUACCGUAACUUCGGGAGAAGGUAUGCCCACAUUAGGUGAAACAAAUUUUUUUAAAAAUUAUCUUGUGGAGCUGAAGUGGGUCGCAGAGAAAUGGCGGUAGCGACUGUUUACUAAAAACACAGGACUCUGCUAAGUUGUAAGACAAUGUAUAGGGUCUGACGCCUGCCCGGUGCCGGAAGGUUAAGGGGAUGUGUUAGUGGUACUUUUGUACUACGAAGCAUUGAACUGAAGCCCUGGUAAACGGCGGCCGUAACUAUAACGGUCCUAAGGUAGCGAAAUUCCUUGUCGGGUAAGUUCCGACCUGCACGAAUGGCGUAACGACUUCCGCACUGUCUCAACCAGGGACUCAGUGAAAUUGUAUUGGCGGUGAAGAUGCCGUCUACCCGCGAAAAGACGGAAAGACCCCGGCACCUUUACUACAGCUUGACAUUGGAUUUUGGAAUACUAUGUGUAGGAUAGGUGGGAGGCUAUGAAACCGAAACGUUAGUUUCGGUGGAGCCAGCCUUGAAAUACCACCCUUACUAUUUUAGGGUUCUAAUUUUGUUCCGUAAUCCGGGCAAAAGACAGUGUUUGGUGGGUAGUUUGACUGGGGCGGUCGCCUCCCAAAGAGUAACGGAGGCGCGCGAAGGUUCCCUCAGGCUGAUUGGAAACCAGCCGUGGAGUGUAAAGGCAUAAGGGAGCUUGACUGCGAGAGAGACAUUUCGAGCAGGUACGAAAGUAGGUCUUAGUGAUCCGGCGGUCCUGAAUGGAAGGGCCGUCGCUCAACGGAUAAAAGGUACGCCGGGGAUAACAGGCUUAUCGCCCCCAAGAGUUCAUAUCGACGGGGCGGUUUGGCACCUCGAUGUCGGCUCAUCACAUCCUGGGGCUGAAGCAGGUCCCAAGGGUUUGGCUGUUCGCCAAUUAAAGUGGUACGUGAGCUGGGUUUAAAACGUCGUGAGACAGUUUGGUCCCUAUCUUUCGUGGGCGUAGGAUAUUUGAGAGGCUCUGUUACUAGUACGAGAGGACCGUAAUGGACGAACCUCUGGUGUUCCAGUUGUCGCGCCAGCGGCAUAGCUGGGUAGCUAUGUUCGGAAAGGAUAACCGCUGAAAGCAUAUAAGCGGGAAGCCUCCCUCAAGAUAAGAUAUCCCCUCAUACAAUUAAUUUUAUUGAGUGUAUGACUGAAGACUACUUGAAGACUACAAGAUUGAUAGGCUGGGUGUGUAAGUACAGUAAUGUAUUCAGCUAACCAGUACUAAUAGUCGUGAGGCUUGAUCAA